rnacentral:rRNA from 1 species
GACGAACGCUGGCGGCGUGCCUAAUACAUGCAAGUAGAACGCACAGUUUAUACCGUAGCUUGCUACACCAUAAACUGUGAGUUGCGAGCGGGUGAGUAACGCGUAGGUAACCUGCCUGGUAGCGGGGGAUAACUAUUGGAAACGAUAGCUAAUACCGCAUAAUAUUGAUUAUUGCAUGAUAAUUGAUUGAAAGAUGCUAUUGCAUCACUACCAGAUGGACCUGCGUUGUAUUAGCUAGUAGGUGAGGUAACGGCUCACCUAGGCGACGAUACAUAGCCGACCUGAGAGGGUGAUCGGCCACACUGGGACUGAGACACGGCCCAGACUCCUACGGGAGGCAGCAGUAGGGAAUCUUCGGCAAUGGACGAAAGUCUGACCGAGCAACGCCGCGUGAGUGAAGAAGGUUUUCGGAUCGUAAAGCUCUGUUGUAAGAGAAGAACGGGUGUGAGAGUGGAAAGUUCACACUGUGACGGUAGCUUACCAGAAAGGGACGGCUAACUACGUG